rnacentral:rRNA from 1 species
UACCAGCACCCCGAGUGGUCGGGACGUUUAUUGGGCCUAAAGCAUCCGUAGCCGGUUCUACAAGUCUUCCGUUAAAUCCAACUGCUUAACAGGUGGGCUGCGGAUGAUACUAUAGAGCUAGGAGGCGGGAGAGGCAAGCGGUACUCGAUGGGUAGGGGUAAAAUCCGUUGAUCCAUUGAAGACCACCAGUGGCGAAGGCGGCUUGCCAGAACGCGCUCGACGGUGAGGGAUGAAAGCUGGGGGAGCAAACCGG